rnacentral:rRNA from 1 species
GACGAACGCUGGCGGCGUGCUUAACACAUGCAAGUCGAACGGUGAGGCCGGGGCUUGGUGGGGGGGUCGAGUGGCGAACGGGUGAGUAACACGUGAGUAACCUGCCCUGGACUUUGGGAUAACCGCAGGAAACGAGGGCUAAUACCGGAUAGGAGCUUCGACUGCAUGGUGGGGGGUGGAAAGUUUUGUCGGUUGGGGAUGGACUCGCGGCUUAUCAGCUUGUUGGUGGGGUAGUGGCUUACCAAGGCGUUGACGGGUAGCCGGCCUGAGAGGGUGACCGGCCACAGAGUGACUGACAUACGGCCCACACUCGUACGGGAGCAAGCAGUGAGAUUGAUUGCAGAGUGGGCGGCAGCUGCAUGAAGGCCGCGCGCGUGAUGAAUGACGGCGUUCGGUUUGUAGCCCGCUUUAGCCUGUGACGACGCGUGAGUGACGGUAAUGGGUAAAGAAGCACCGGCUAACUACGUG